CCCUCUCUCUCUCUCUCUCUCUCUCUCUCUCUCUCUUUCUCCCUCUCUCUCCCUCUCUCCUCUGUUGAUCCCCCCCUCUUCUGUCUAAGCAGGUUUAGUUAUAAGCAGCUGUGUUUCUCUUCUUCUAUCAUCCCUCUCUUUUUAUCCUCUUAUUUUGAUGCUGUUAUUUCUGCUCCCCCCUCCUCUCUCGUUCUCCCUCCACACCCUGUCCUGGGGAGUAAUGCAAACGCGGGCAACGAGCGCUUGGAGUGAAAAACACGCUCUCUCUCGCGCUCUCUCGUUCUCACACGCGAGCGCUUUCGGAGGAGCGUGCCUUUUGCGAGCCCCGGCUGGCGCUGUGAUGGGAUUGUGGGGCGGAUCGUGCUCCUCUGUGCUGGACUAAGUGGAGUUUGGAAGAGCGGCUCCACACUGUCAGCAUGAGCGAGGAAGUCAAGGAAAAGAGCGGCUCCAAGACCCCGCACCGCAAGAAGAAAGGAAAGAAGAGCAGCUGUUCUGGAACAGGUCCGUGCAGGUUCUGGAAACCCCUCGAACACACAGAGGUGUGAGAGGAGGAGGCAGAGAGGAGUCCCAGAGGAGUGAGGGGAGGAGGCAGAGAGGAGUCCCAGAGGAGUGAGGGGAGGAGGCAGAGAGGAGUCCCAGAGGAGGUGAAGCCGGAGGCAGCUUUCCUUGAUAUGCCAUCAAACUGACACUUCCUGCCUUGGUUUCCAACAUCAUUGCAGCAUAAUAGCUAGAUGCCUCUGCUAUGACUCUGUUAUGACUCUGCUAUGUCAUAGGUUUCAUACCAGCUCAGUGGAACUCGUUUUGCAGUAAAAGCCUAAUCCAAAUUCCCCUUCGUGGCUGAUGUCCCAUAUGUACAAAAAUUCCCUUCACUGAGGAUGACUGUUGAGGUUUUCAUUCUUCAGAAGAUUUUCCCAGCCUCUCUGGUGACUGCUUGGGGAACUUGGCACAGAGUUCUGCCCUAGUCUGGAAAAAUACUUAACACACCAGUGCUGUCUAAACUGGCCAUUUAAUUAUUCCUUCUAUAAACCCCACAUUUGGCAAACCCAUAUAACGAUAGACAUAACUACGUGUUUUAGCAAGCUUAUUUCAAAAUAAACAUUACAAAAUAAACAAAUAAAAGAAUUAGGUGUAUAAGAAUUAGGUAUGUUGAACUGACAGUCCAUGGUUUGGUACAGGGGACCUGGGUUCUGGGUUCUGACAGAGCUCCCUGAAGCUCAUCCCAACAGGCUCCUGUGAGGCUGUACA